GAUUAACGCUGGCGGCGUGCCUAACGCAUGCAAGUCGAGCGGCAGCGAGUUUUACACUGCCUUCUGGAAGCUUCUAGUUGAAAGAGAAGAUUUAUUCAAGAAUUUUGUGUAAAAUGUCGGCGAGCGGCGGACGGCUGAGUAACGCGUGGGAACGUUCCCCAAAGUGAGGGAUAACGCAUCGAAAGGUGUGCUAAUACCGCAUAUGGUCUUCGGAUUAAAGCCUUCGGGCGCUUUGGGAACGGCCUGCGUAAGAUUAGAUAGUUGGUGGGGUAAUGGCCUACCAAGUCGACGAUCUUUAACUGGUUUGAGAGGAUGAUCAGUCAGACUGGAACUGAGACACGGUCCAGACUCCUACGGGAGGCAGCAGUGAGGAAUCUUCCACAAUGGGCGAAAGCCUGAUGGAGCAACGCCGCGUGCAGGAUGAAGGCCUUCGGGUUGUAAACUGCUUUUAUAAGUGAGGAUUAUGACAGUAACUUAUGAAUAAGGAUCGGCUAACUACGUG
rnacentral:rRNA from 1 species